UCCGUCCCGUCUGCCUGAGUCACCACUAACCAGGAGAACGCCUAACCCCCCCUCACCGAAAAAACACCAACCUCUAUAAAAAUAACCACAGCAAACAAAUAAGUGUAAACAAAUUACUCUGAUCGAGCAUAACAUUAUGACCACCUCCUUGUUUCUACAUCUGUUAUUUAUUUUUUUCUGGCUCAACUGAUCAUUAAGACAUUCUCUAAUAAUUACAGACUGUAGUUCUGUAUCUGUUUCGCUGUAUACUUUAUUACUAUCCUCCUUUAACCCUGUUCUUCUCUAAUACUAAGUUCUGUGGAUAGCGUCCUGUAGGCAGCAUCCUGUAGGCAGCUUUUUGUGGCUAGCGUCCUGUGGACAGUGUUCUGUGGUCAGCUUUUUGUGGGCAGCGUCCUGUGGGUGGUGUUCUGUGGGCAGCUUUUUGUGGGUAGGGUAAUGUGGGUGGUGUCCUGUAGGGCGGUGUCCUGUAGGCUGCAUCCUGUGGGCAGCUUUUUGUGGGUAGGGUAAUGUGGAUGGUGUCCUGUGUGGCAGUGUCCUGUAGGCUGCAUCCUGUGGGCAGCUUUUUGUGGGUAGGGUAAUGUGGGUGGUGUCCUGUAGGGAGGUGUCCUGUAGGCUGCAUCCUGUGGGCAGCUUUUUGUGGGUAGGGUAAUGUGGGUGGUGUCCUGUAGGGAGGUGUCCUGUAGGCUGCAUCCUGUGGGCAGCUUUUUGUGGGUAGGGUAAUGUGGAUGGUGUCCUGUGUGGCAGUGUCCUGUAGGCUGCAUCCUGUGGGCAGCUUUUUGUGGGUAGGGUAAUGUGGAUGGUGUCCUGUGUGGCAGUGUCCUGUAGGCUGCAUCCUGUGGGCAGCUUUUUGUGGGUAGGGUAAUGUGGGUGGUGUCCUGUAGGGCGGUGUCCUGUAGGCUGCAUCCUGUGGGCAGCUUUUUGUGGGUAGGGUAAUGUGGGUGGUGUCCUGUAGGGCGGUGUCCUGUAGGCUGCAUCCUGUGGGCAGCUUUUUGUGGGUAGGGUAAUGUGGGUGGUGUCCUGUAGGGCGGUGUCCUGUAGGCUGCAUCCUGUGGGCAGCUUUUUGUGGGUAGGGUAAUGUGGAUGGUGUCCUGUGUGGCAGUGUCCUGUAGGCUGCAUCCUGUGGGCAGCUUUUCGUGAGUAAGGUAAUGUGGGUGGUGUCCUGUAGGGCGGUGUCCUGUAGGCUGCAUCCUGUGGGCAGCUUUUUGUGGGUAGGGUAAUGUGGAUGGUGUCCUGUAGGGCGGUGUCCUGUAGGCUGCAUCCUGUGGGCAGCUUUUUGUGGGUAGGGUCCUGCAGGCAGGGUUCUGUGUGCAGCUUUUUGUGUGUAGCAUCCUGUGGGCAGCGUUCCGUGGGCAGCGUCUUGUGGGUAGCAUCCUGUAGGUAGCGUCUUGUGGGCGGCAUCCUGUAGAAAGCUAUUUGUGGAUAACGUCCUGUGGGCGGCAUCCUGUAGGCAGGGUGAAAAUAUGGAGGAUAAUAAUACAGUAUACAGAGAAACAGAUACAAAACUACAGUCUGUAGUAAAAUAGAACUACAAUGUGCAUAACAGGUGAAGAAACAAUAAGGUGAACCUAAUGAAAUGCUUGAUUAGUAUAUAAGGCACUAUUAUUUACUGAUUACCUUUAUUUACUGAAAUCUCCUUAUCAGUUGUUGGUAGUUUUGGAGAGCAACGUUAAGCAGCUGUUACGCAUUUCCUCCUAAUUCUGCAUUAUGACCAGCGCAUGUGUUUUGGAAGUGCGUGACGUCUGCCUGACUUUGGCUCAGAAACUGCGGGUAAAAAUACUGAGGG